ACUCCUUUUAAAACAAUGAACUGAAAAUAAAUGAAAAUUGUUAAAACUGCAUGAAAUCAUCAUGUAGCGUCCUUCUAAGCCGUAGGUCACAGGUUCGAAUCCUGUAGGGCGUACCA
rnacentral:tRNA from 1 species